GCGGUCGUGGCGGAAUUGGUAGACGCGCAGCGUUGAGGUCGCUGUGGGCUUUGGCCCGUGGAAGUUCGAGUCUUCUCGACCGCACCA
rnacentral:tRNA from 1 species